UACGUAGGGUGCGAGCGUUGUCCGGAAUUAUUGGGCGUAAAGGGCUCGUAGGCGGUCUGUUGCGUCAGGAGUGAAAACUCGGGGCUUAACCCCGAGCCUGCUUCUGAUACGGGCAGACUAGAGGUAUGCAGGGGAGAACGGAAUUCCUGGUGUAGCGGUGAAAUGCGUAGAUAUCAAGAGGAACACCUGAGGCGAAGGCGGGUUGCUAGGCUGACACUGACGCUGAGGCGCGAAAGCCAGGGGAGCAAACGGG
rnacentral:rRNA from 1 species